UACUAGAGUAGCACUCGCAUAUCAAUAAGCGGAGGAAAAGAAACUAACAAGGAUUCCCCUAGUAACGGCGAGUGAAGCGGGAAGAGCUCAAAUUUGAAAUCUUAAAGGGUUUCCCUUUACGAGUUGUAGUUUAAAGAAGUGUUUUCUGUUGAGGUUUUGGUAAAAGUUCUUUGGAACUAGGACAUCAUAGAGGGUGAGAAUCCCGUAUUUGACCUUUACUUUCAACUUUGUGAUACACUUUCAAAGAGUCGGAUUGUUUGGGAAUGCAGUCCAAAAUGGGUGGUAAAUUUCAUCUAAAGCUAAAUAUUGGCGAGAGACCGAUAGCGAACAAGUACCGUGAGGGAAAGAUGAAAAGAACUUUGAAAAGAGAGUUAAACAGUACGUGAAAUUGUCAAAAGGGAAGCGUUUGACACCAGUGUUGUUUUUCUGAAAAUCAAUUAAAGAACUGUUUAUGCUAAGCUGUUUAGACUUUAUCAGCUAUCUGUUUAGUUUUGAACUUUUCUUUAAUGCACUUUUCAGUUAACAAGUCAACAUCAAUUUCUUUUGCUGUAAAAAAGCUUGAGGAAGGUGGCUUGAGAUUCGUCUUAAGUGUUUAUAGCCUCUUGCCUAUGCAGUCGGAGAGAUUGAGGUCUGCAGCGUAGAUCCUUCGGGGCUAAAUGCAUUUGUGCUAAGUUAUAGCAUUUUAUAGACAACUUGUUGACUAUGAUUUGUCUUGUAGCUUACUCGCUUAUGUUAUUUUACCUACGCUUAGGAUGUUGAACUACUGAGACAUAGA
rnacentral:rRNA from 1 species